UUGAUAGAAGCCAAAAAGAGGCAUAUUACUGUUAAUAAUAUAAUUGAAAUUUAUUUCCUAUCAAU
rnacentral:tRNA from 1 species